UACGGAGGGUGCAAGCGUUAAUCGGAAUUACUGGGCGUAAAGCGCACGCAGGCGGUCUGUCAAGUCGGAUGUGAAAUCCCCGGGCUCAACCUGGGAACUGCAUUCGAAACUGGCAGGCUAGAGUCUUGUAGAGGGGGGUAGAAUUCCAGGUGUAGCGGUGAAAUGCGUAGAGAUCUGGAGGAAUACCGGUGGCGAAGGCGGUGCACUGGUGGAUUACUGACGCUGAGGUGCGAAAGCCAGGGGAGCAAAGCGGG
rnacentral:rRNA from 1 species